rnacentral:lncRNA from 1 species
GGGCGUGAGAAAGCCUUGUGCGUGAGGUGAAGGUCCAAAACCUUCCAAGAGAAAAAGAAAGAAAAGAAAGAAAAUUGGGCGCAAGGUUUUUCAGUGAGUUCCCUAGGGUUUCAGCCUGGGGUUCGGGAAGUGAGAAGGUGAGCUACGAGUGUCGUGAGCCCACCAAAUUUUAGAAAAAAAUUCAGCAAUCUCUCAAGCAUACUUGCUGAUGAUCCAAAGCAUCCGAGGAGUCGGCAGACAUCGAUCGAAGGAGUUCGAUCAGCAUCGACCGUCA